UAUGGCUGUGUGCCCCGUUCUCGGGAGCGUCGACGGGUUUCCGGCAUGCGGAUUUCAGCGUUUGGACUCGACUUUUAGUGAGGAUGUCGAUCGACCUUGGGCCUGGUGACAGCACACCCGACAUUGCCAAAGUGCAGCCUAUCAGUUGAGUGCCCCCGAAUGGACCAUCAACAUCGGAAAAUGAAGCAGAGCCAGGGGGAAAAGGUUCCGGUAACACCAUGCAUUCAGUAUGGUGACCCAGACGUGUAUGCAAGCAACCUCCUUCAUGUGGACCAAGAACUACUCUGCAGUGUCUCGCAGACUUCCAUGCGAAGCCCUCAAUAUUCUCGUCUCAGUGGAAUGGCUGCUCAUCUAUCUGCGUGUCCAUCACCAAGACGGCCAGUUGUAAAGCUCCUGUACCCGUUUAAGAAAGCUUAAUGAUUUUUUUAUUUAGUUUUCACGGUUGGCCGUAGAAUCUUAACAUUUUUAAUGUUUCUAACAUUUUUACCUGGCACAAAGUGGUGCAAUAACUUUAGACCAGUGUAAUGUAUUUAAGUGAUGCUCACUCUAAUGCUUAUCUGAUUUUGUUAGUGUUUAAGAAAUUUUAAUGUCUGAUGAGGUAACAGCAUUUGAAUUUGUCGUCGUGGCUCGUUUCAAUGAGCUGCUAGGAAAUAAGACGCAAAACUUAUCACACGCCAGUUGUAGCAUUUUUGUUUUCAUGACUACAGUAUACACGUUUCAAAAGAUGGAAAGUGGGGAA
rnacentral:lncRNA from 1 species